AUCUGAAUAUUAUUGUGCAGUUGUUGUGAACUUCACUAAAGCAUUACUCAGAGUCCUUGCGGAGUGAUGAGUGAAGACUACUGUGAAAUGUUAUGGGGUUCCCCCGUUGUUGGUUGUAGGUGGGGCAUUAAUUAGUGCAACACGAUGAGACGGUAUUCAGGAAUAAACUACACAGAGCCCCAUAUCCCUGUGUGUGGUGUGGCUGUUUGAACUGUCCUGAUCUGCUUGUCCUGCCUUGUUGAUGUCCACUACAAGAGCAGUGGGAUGCCAGCACCAACACUCCCAGUUAACCAUAAUACUCCAUGACCAUGAACCUCCAGAUCUGCACCUUUUAUCUGACAGGGGUUGUUUGAAGCAGUUAGGAAACCUGGAACAACACAACAGGGAGACCAACAAGCACAUUCCAUCUGCCACAAUAAGGAGACUUACCUGGCACAGUGAAGGCCCCUGCUGAUUCAAAGUACAUUUGUCAUGUUGCAGAACAUGUGUUUUCUUUCAUAAUCCCAAUAAUCAGCUAAAGCUGUAGGACUGUGAGUGAAGUAUCCAGUGAAACUGUUUGAAAUAGCAGUGAUGAUGCAUGCAUUACCACUAAUGCAUUCAUUUUACAAUCUGGAAAACAUUUAUUUCUUGCAAACCAAUUUUCAUUCCUAAACCAACCGAGGUGCUCAUCUACUUUCCUGUUAUAAAACAAUACCUGAAAUGCUUCUGAUUCAUGUUUGACCCAGAUUUAAGGUCUUUGGAGCAUUACAGUACAACUAUAUUAUCUGUGAGAAUAUUGAGAGCAAAGCAGAAGAAAACUAAAAUAAGGAAAGCACAUAAUUCUCUGGAGGAAGAUGAUUGUACUAUCUGAUAACAGCAACCACAAGUGGAUUUGAUCUUCUUUCUAGCAGCCAGUGCCACAAGUAAAUUAGUAGCUUUGUUUUAGGUUGUGUACCGUUUGAUUUAUUGCUUUGUAAAAUACAGGCUUAAGAGCUUUUGAGUAUUGUGCAUUGUACCUUACCAUAGUAUUGUUUUCUUUUUUUAUCCAAGCAACCAGAGAAUCUACGCAUGCCUGCUUAGUUUUAUAUAUAGUGUUGAUAAUGGCUGAUAAAAAAGGAAACUAUAUUUGGGUCCUUAGCUUCCUUCUAACAGUAAUAUUUCACAGAAAUAACCAGAUAAUUCUAGUUUAAAUUGAAGUCAGUUUAUGAUUUAAUUGUAAAACUACUGUAAAACUUGCCAUGCCAUGAGCAAUUAAGCUGUGUGGUUACUACAGCUUGCAUGCAUUGGCCAUUCACGAAUGCACUGUGGAAUGGACACUGGAGAUUCUCAUUGCUUGCAAGGAAGUCGUACAGAAAUCCUUUAUCUAAAUGGAUAAAUAAAUCAUUUUACUUUGCAUGAUGAAAA